CUACGUGCCAGCAGCCGCGGUAAUACGGAGGAUGCAAGCGUUAUCCGGAUUUAUUGGGUUUAAAGGGUGCGUAGGCGGUAUUACAAGUCAGGGGUGAAAUCUUGGUGCUUAACAUUAAAAUUGCCUUUGAAACUGUGGUACUUGAGUGUAAAAGAGGUAGGCGGAAUGUGUUGUGUAGCGGUGAAAUGCAUAGAUAUAACACAGAACCCCGAUUGCGAAGGCAGCUUACUAUCAUACAACUGACGCUGAUGCACGAAAGCGUGGGGAUCAAACAGGAUUAGAUACCCUGGUAGUCCACGCAGUAAACGAUGAUUACUAGCUGUUAGCGAUAUAUUGUUAGUGGCUAAGCGAAAGCGAUAAGUAAUCCACCUGGGGAGUACGUUCGCAAGAAUGAAACUCAAAGGAAUUGACGGGGGCCCGCACAAGCGGAGGAACAUGUGGUUUAAUUCGAUGAUACGCGAGGAACCUUACCCGGGCUUGAAAUGC
rnacentral:rRNA from 1 species